CGUGGGAGAGACACAUCAAUCGGUUGCCUCUUGCAUGCGCCCGGACCAGGGGACCAGGGGACCACGGGACCAGGAUUGGGGAUCAAAUCUGCAUGGCCUUGACCAGGAAUCUAACAGGAGACCCUUCAGCCUGCGGGGCAAUGCUUCAACCACUGAACACACUGGCCAAGGGGCGCGAGACCUGAAAGACAGCUGACGAAGCCAGAAAAGGAUACUGACAGGCAAGAAUAUUGAAGCUGAAAUCAAGACCUUUCUUCUCCUCGGCGGAGGCUCCCAGAUACUAAAGGACGAGCUCUCAGAAGUUUACCACUUUUCAAAACACCUGUUGUUCGGGGAAGAUGGACCAGUGAAAGGAUGGACUGUCUGUGGUCGAAUAUCUGGGAAUCCCCACCUGCGACUCAGAUAUCUCUACCCCCUUUGUAAUGGCAUCCAUCAUGUUUGUUAGAUUGGGUUUGACAGCUGUGUAGUCCCCAAAACUCACACUGUCAGUGCAACUACAGUGGCCGGGCUCUCGGGAACUGAUUCAUGCUAGCCAGACUCUCGGAAGACUCUGAAGUGAACAGAAUGACCACUCACCAUGGGGACAUGCAUCUCCAGUGACUGAAAGACUCGUGGGUAUGUUCUCCAGGACCCUCACUGCUCAGUCCCGGGCACCUGGGAACACUCCUGGGAACCAGAAAGUUGGUUGGUGAGAUCUCACACUCACAACAGAGAAAAGGAUGGUGCUAUGGGUUGAAUUGUGUCCCCUCCCAAUU